rnacentral:tRNA from 1 species
GCUGGCAUGGCGGAAUAGGCAGACGCAAAGGACUUAAAAUCCUUCGGGAGCGAUCCCGUGCCGGUUCAAGUCCGGCUGCCAGCA